CUGCAAUGCUAUAAAAGGUGGGAUUUUUGCUUGUUGAGGGCUGUGCAAUCAACAGGAAAGAUAAGAAGGUCAAACAGGAAGAGCUGUGCUGGAGUCAGUUGUGAGCAGAGCUGAGGAAGGCACAGAUCUGUGUGCUCUUUUCCAGCAUGUUAUAGUGAAUCAGACUUGGAAAAGAUUGUUGGUAAUCUUAACUGCAUCACUG